UUUUAUGUCAAUUCUAAUUAGCUUACAAUUUGAUUUUCAUGUCAUGAAUAUUUCUACUUUUAUGAAUUUUAUCGCUUUUUUUUUUUUUUGGUUUGAUUUUAUCGCAUUUUAUUAAUAAACUAAAAUUUUAGUAAAAUAUUAAUGACUUUUAAUCGUCAUCAAAAUUUUAAGAGAGAUAUUUAUUAAAGUUAAGUAAUCAAUUGAGUGAGCUUUUAGAGAUAAUUAAUGUGACGUUGUUAUGAGUUUGUUCAUGUUAUGAGACAUUUAUAAUAAUGUUGAUUAUAUGAAUGGUCACUUGCAACUACUUAAGGGCUAAAACCAAUUUAAUUAAAAUUAAUAAAGCAUGAGGUGUUUUACUUAUAAAUUGAUUUAAUAGUUGUUUUUUACAUGCAAAUUAAUGAGACAUAAUAUGGGUGAAAUUCAAAAAAAUAUUGUUUAUGCUUUAAUGAUCUUUCUAACCCUAAUUAUGGUUCAUGAACUUGGCCAACAUAGUUUACUCCCUUGCAAAAAUAAUACGGAUUGUGCAAAUGAUAGAUGUCUCAAUUAUAAAACUCCGAUAUGUGUUAGCAAAAAAUGUUAUUGCUUGUAAGUGUAAGUGUGUAACAAAUUAAGUUAAAAAUAAUUCUAAGUUACUUUCUUAUUAGCUUCUCAUAAUAAAUAAAAAAAUUACAAUUUGAUUUGUAUGUAUAAGGUUUCUAUUAUUAUGAAUUUUUUUACCCUUUGAUUCA